UGGUGGAGUGAUUUGUCUGGUUAAUUCCGUUAACGAACGAGAUCUCAACCUAUUAACUAGUGGGAUCCAUCGCCUAACGGGUGAAGCUGGUUAAUACCGUGUCUGGCUUGCCAGAUGCGGUUUAGCCAGUGGAUCCUUGGCGAAUGGGUAAAACUUCUUAGAGGGACUAUUGGGGACUACCCAAUGGAAGUGAGGCAAUAACA
rnacentral:rRNA from 1 species